GCAAACUUGGUCAUUUAGAGGAAGUAAAAGUCGUAACAAGGUUUCCGUAGGUGAACCUGCGGAAGGAUCAUUAUCGAAGCUUUUUGAAAGGGCAAGGUUUUGCAGCUGGUGGCCUUUUUAUUUUAUUUUAUAAAUUCAUCCACACGUGCUCGCCUUGACCUCUCAAUAAAUUCACCCCUUUACUCAACACCUUGUGCACUCUUUUAUUGGGAGGGGGAAAGAGGUGGCGGGAGGGAAAAAAGCGUUCCUCUAAAACGAAGAAUGCAAAAAUGUCCCCCCCUCGUUGCCUCCACCUCCCCCAAAUAAAGUCAAAUUUUACACCCCCAUGUAAUGCAAUAGUGACAAAAUACAUAUCGAAUGAAAAACACAACUUUCAACAACGGAUCUCUUGGCUCUCGCAUCGAUGAAGAACGCAGC
rnacentral:misc_RNA from 1 species